CACCUAUAAUGCAAGUCGAGCGGACAGAUGGGAGCUUGCUCCCUGAUGUUAGCGGCGGACGGGUGAGUAACACGUGGGUAACCUGCCUGUAAGACUGGGAUAACUCCGGGAAACCGGGGCUAAUACCGGAUGCUUGUUUGAACCGCAUGGUUCAGACAUAAAAGGUGGCUUCGGCUACCACUUACAGAUGGACCCGCGGCGCAUUAGCUAGUUGGUGAGGUAACGGCUCACCAAGGCGACGAUGCGUAGCCGACCUGAGAGGGUGAUCGGCCACACUGGGACUGAGACACGGCCCAGACUCCUACGGGAGGCAGCAGUAGGGAAUCUUCCGCAAUGGACGAAAGUCUGACGGAGCAACGCCGCGUGAGUGAUGAAGGUUUUCGGAUCGUAAAGCUCUGUUGUUAGGGAAGAACAAGUGCCGUUCAAAUAGGGCGGCACCUUGACGGUACCUAACCAGAAAGCCACGGCUAACUACGUGCCAGCAGCCGCGGUAAUACGUAGGUGGCAAGCGUUGUCCGGAAUUAUUGGGCGUAAAGGGCUCGCAGGCGGUUUCUUAAGUCUGAUGUGAAAGCCCCCGGCUCAACCGGGGAGGGUCAUUGGAAACUGGGGAACUUGAGUGCAGAAGAGGAGAGUGGAAUUCCACGUGUAGCGGUGAAAUGCGUAGAGAUGUGGAGGAACACCAGUGGCGAAGGCGACUCUCUGGUCUGUAACUGACGCUGAGGAGCGAAAGCGUGGGGAGCGAACAGGAUUAGAUACCCUGGUAGUCCACGCCGUAAACGAUGAGUGCUAAGUGUUAGGGGGUUUCCGCCCCUUAGUGCUGCAGCUAACGCAUUAAGCACUCCGCCUGGGGAGUACGGUCGCAAGACUGAAACUCAAAGGAAUUGACGGGGGCCCGCACAAGCGGUGGAGCAUGUGGUUUAAUUCGAAGCAACGCGAAGAACCUUACCAGGUCUUGACAUCCUCUGACAAUCCUAGAGAUAGGACGUCCCCUUCGGGGGCAGAGUGACAGGUGGUGCAUGGUUGUCGUCAGCUCGUGUCGUGAGAUGUUGGGUUAAGUCCCGCAACGAGCGCAACCCUUGAUCUUAGUUGCCAGCAUUCAGUUGGGCACUCUAAGGUGACUGCCGGUGACAAACCGGAGGAAGGUGGGGAUGACGUCAAAUCAUCAUGCCCCUUAUGACCUGGGCUACACACGUGC
rnacentral:rRNA from 2 species